GUUAGGAAUAUUGGACAAUGGGCGCAAGCCUGAUCCAGCCAUGCCGCGUGAGUGAUGAAGGCCUUCGGGUUGUAAAGCUCUUUAGCCGAUGAUUAUAAUGACUGUAGUCGGAAAAUAAGCCCCGGCUAACUUCGUGCCAGCAGCCGCGGUAAUACGAAGGGGGCGAGCGUUAUUCGGAAUCACUGGGCGUAAAGCGUGCGUAGGCGGCUUUGCAAGUUGGGAGUGAAAGCCCAGGGCUCAAACCUGGAAUUGCUCUCAAAACUGCAAGGCUCGAAUGCGGGAGAGGAUAGCGGAAUUGUCAGUGUAGCAGUGAAAUGCGUAGAUAUUGACAGGAACACCAGUGGCGUAAGCGGCUAUCUGGACCGAUAUUGACGCUGAGGCACGAAAGCGUGGGGAUCAAACAGGAUUAGAUACCCCAGUAGUCC
rnacentral:rRNA from 1 species